rnacentral:sRNA from 1 species
UUAAACACUAUUUUUGUAUACCCGGCAUUCUUAAAAUGCAAGGAUAUUAUAUGUAAAAACAUUUCAUUUUUAUAUAUAUGUAUGCACAUAUAAAGGGUGUGGGUUAGCUCUGCAAAAACACCGGACGAAUUUUUAUAUUUUUAUUUUCUUUUGUUCUUUUUGAACUUUUGAACUAGAGGUAAUAGCAGCAAAUUCGAAAAAAUCAAUCAGCAUUUUAGAUAUCAGAUAGACCUACAAUAUCAGCUAUAUAGAAUCUGUUUUAGUUCCCAGUGCUCAGAACCACUAACGGCAGAAAAUCGAAUUUAGGUCGUCGAACUAUCAACAUAGAAGGUUCGAAUAAAGUCUUCCCAAUAAAGUCGUUUGGUGCAACGCAUAUUUUACAGGAAAAUUCCACACUCACUUUCAAGACUGGCCAACAUACUCAGUUACAGAUUCAAAGGCAUAUAAACAUAUCAAUUUUAUGCUGUGUUUCGUUCCUCAUUUGUCAUUCAUGCAACCACAGCGUGCUGCAACGAAACGUGGCCGAACCGGCUAAUAAUACAUUUAUUCAAAUCUGAGAAAAAGGUCCUAAUUUGUAGCUCCUAAUUUGUUCAGGCGCAAAUGUCAGAUCCGUUUUAUGUUUGUCAGUAAGUCAAUGCCGGAUAUGAAAACCCACACUUUAAUGUAAAGCCACUCUGGGAUUGGAAUUUAUUUUCAUCACUCUGAUCCAAUCGCAUCAGUUUUCUGGACCAUUAAAAUGGGCGGCAGUGAUUUUAUACUUUGAAUGAGACAAAAAUCCGAUUGAGUUUUCACAUCCUCACACUUAGACUACUCAUAAAUAGUAAAUAAUAAUAAAAGAAUUGCUGGUUUGAAAAGAGAUAUUUAUUUAUAUUAUUUACUAUGGGUGUUUCUGGAAACUGCUAUGAACACAAUUGCUAUCUCUCUCUAAGGCUAUAAGCAAUGCUUGAAAUUUUGGAAUUAUUUUAUAUACAAAAUUCUUAAUUAAUGUUGCAUCAAAAAAGCAAAAGGGGAGAGAGAGACUCUAGAGAGACUAUAAGAGACAGGCCAAAUUUUAUGACACUUUCUCAUGUCAUGUUAAACGCACAUAAUUAUCUGUUAUGUGUAACAUCCGAUCCUUAUGUGAGAUUUUUUAUAUUAAAUUGUAUCUGUUUCCAUUUUUACAUAUGUCUCCUUUUCUCUUUUCUCCUUUCGAUCAAAUUCUAUGAAGUUUUUUUUGCAAAAAAAUCAAUUUGGGGUUACUGCGAACAUCGAUACCAAACGACAUAUAAUAUAAAUUACAUAAAACAUAUAUUCUGGCUUACUCUCGGGUAUAAAAGUAUAAUUUUUAAGAUUUUAAUUUAAGAUUUGCAAAACCAGGCCCACAACCAAUAUUUCGUCUUGUGUUCAGUAUAUUCAAAGUUUGUCCUUUUGUAAAACUGUGUAGUUUUCUAUCGUAUCCUCAGCUUUUGGGAUCAAACAGGAUGUCAGGAAGACAUUCGCUUCAGUGUGAUGUCACAAAGGUGAUCACCUAAAAUAUGGCUGCUCUAGCUUUUACAGUCUCUAAGAUGAACAGACCAAAAUGUUUAAGUCGAAUAUUUUUUAAAUCUGAUCAAGAAUAUAUAUACCGUAUGGGGCCGGAAACGCUUCUUUUCGUCUGCUGAGUAUCGAGAACACAAAGGAUUAUUCAUCGACCUAUCUUCCUAUGACAGCAAUAUGAACUAACUUUUCAGCUGAGCUUAUGGAAGUUAACGGAAAUGGAAGCAUGCAUUCAUAGAUGUAUUUCAAGGAGAAAAUUGAGAACCGAUGAAGCAACACGAGCACCAGUAGUUUAGGCUGAUCGAAAAGGACACAAAUAGUGGUUGCAGUGCUUGUUAAAUAAUUUUUAAAAGGUUUUUAUAUGUUUUCCCAACGGAGCUCACACGCGGGUGAGUACUGUACGCGAAUCAUGUGGUUACAAACAGUACCCAAAUUAAUCGCUUAAUUUAUUUUAACUUUCAGCCAACAAAAAUAAAUUAAGUGUGACAAAGUCAAUAACGAUUGUGUGCUGCGUCUUAUUGCGGUGUUUCUUGCGAGUGGACUGAGU